UCUAGUGGUUGUGUAUAUCUUGGAUGGGGGGAGAAGGUUGUGUAGCCACUUUCAGUGUUGCAUCUGGAUUUCAUUUGCCUUCUUCCCACUCCAAAGUUCGGGGGGCGGAGGGGCUCUCAUCUGGAAUUUUGCUUCAAGCCCAUCUCUGCUAAUGAGUAACUUAGAGCGACAAGGUUUGGAAGGAUUUGCUCCACAGCUGAGGCAACAGCUAGUCCAGGUAUUAGUUGAACCAGCGGGACUGUGAACCUCUGCCAUACAUCCAUCAUUCCGAACUCUGUGAUGAGGACUUUUUCAGGGUGAAAAAUGCCUUCAUUAUGAGGACUGAUCGUUAGUGGAUGUGAAGUUGAGAAGAUGAUGAAGAUGAGUUGUUGGUUCUGGC